GAAUAUGCAGGCGAUCUGUGCUGUGAUAUCUGUCACCCCAUUGAUUGCCACGGUUGAUUCAGCUGAUCUGACUGUCUAGGUGUGUAUCCCCUUCUUUCCUUACGACUCCAUGUGCAUUCCUCCUGAAGUUGCAUGCUUGGUUGAAGAGGACAGUCUUUUCAAAAUAGAGAUGAACCAUUCUUCAGUAAAGAGUAUACAAGUAGCUGCACUCCCUUGCUAGAAUCUCCAAACAAACUCUCAUAUUCCACUGAUCUGAUAUUCUAUUCUUUAUUCCAGAACCACAUUGUUUUAAUGACUAAAGCUCUAUGGU
rnacentral:snRNA from 1 species